UACGUAGGGUGCAAGCGUUGUCCGGAAUUAUUGGGCGUAAAGAGCUCGUAGGCGGUCUGUCGCGUCUGCUGUGAAAACCCGAGGCUCAACCUCGGGCCUGCAGUGGGUACGGGCAGACUAGAGUGCGGUAGGGGAGAUUGGAAUUCCUGGUGUAGCGGUGAAAUGCGCAGAUAUCAGGAGGAACACCGACGGCGAAGGCAGCACUCUGGGCCGGUACUGACGCUGAGGAGCGAAAGCAUGGGGAGCGAACAGG
rnacentral:rRNA from 1 species